GCCUGGGUGGCUCAGUCGGUUGAGCGUCCGACUUCGGCUCAGGUCAUGAUGUCCCCGUUCGUGGGUUCAAGCCCCGCGUCGGGCU
rnacentral:tRNA from 1 species